rnacentral:rRNA from 1 species
GAUGAACGCUGGCGGCGUGCCUAAUACAUGCAAGUCGAGCGAACGGACGAGAAGCUUGCUUCUCUGAUGUUAGCGGCGGACGGGUGAGUAACACGUGGAUAACCUACCUAUAAGACUGGGAUAACUUCGGGAAACCGGAGCUAAUACCGGAUAAUAUUUUGAACCGCAUGGUUCAAAAGUGAAAGACGGUCUUGCUGUCACUUAUAGAUGGAUCCGCGCUGCAUUAGCUAGUUGGUAAGGUAACGGCUUACCAAGGCAACGAUGCAUAGCCGACCUGAGAGGGUGAUCGGCCACACUGGAACUGAGACACGGUCCAGACUCCUACGGGAGGCCGCAGUAGGGAAUCUUCCGCAGUGGGCGAAAGCCUGACGGAGCAACGCCGCGUGAGUGAUGAAGGUCUUCGGAUCGUAAAGCUCUGUUAUUAGGGAAGAACAUAUGUGUAAGUAACUGUGCACAUCUUGACGGUACCUGAUCAGAAAGCCACGGCUAACUACGUG